rnacentral:rRNA from 1 species
GAUGAACGCUGGCGGCGUGCCUAAUACAUGCAAGUCGAGCGAACGGACGAGAAGCUUGCUUCUCUGAUGUUAGCGGCGGACGGGUGAGUAACACGUGGAUAACCUACCUAUAAGACUGGGAUAACUUCGGGAAACCGUAGCUAAUACCGGAUAAUAUUUUGAACCGCAUGGUUCAAAAGUGAAAGACGGUCUUGCUGUCACCUAUAGAUGGAUCCGCGCUGCAUUAGCUAGUUGGUAAGGUAACGGCUUACCAAGGCAACGAUGCAUAGCCGACCUGAGAGGGUGAUCGGCCACACUGGAACUGAGACACGGUCCAGACUCCUACGGGAGGCAGCAGUAGGGAAUCUUCCGCAAUGGGCGAAAGCCUGACGGAGCAACGCCGCGUGAGUGAUGAAGGUCUUCGGAUCGUAAAACUCUGUUAUUAGGGAAGAACAUAUGUGUAAGUAACUGUGCACAUCUUGACGGUACCUAAUCAGAAAGCCACGGCUAACUACGUG